rnacentral:rRNA from 1 species
UACGGAGGAUCCAAGCGUUAUCCGGAUUCAUUGGGUUUAAAGGGUGCGUAGGCGGACUGAUAAGUCAGUGGUGAAAGCCUGCAGCUUAACUGCAGAACUGCCAUUGAUACUGUCAAUCUUGAGUACAUUUGAUGUGGGCGGAAUGUGUCAUGUAGCGGUGAAAUGCUUAGAUAUGACACAGAACACCGAUUGCGAAGGCAGCUCACAAAACUGUGACUGACGCUGAGGCACGAAAGCGUGGGUAUCAAACAGG